GAUGAACGCUAGCGGCAGGCCUAAUACAUGCAAGUCGAGGGGCAGCGCGGUAGCAAUACUGGCGGCGACCGGCGCACGGGUGCGUAACACGUAUGCAACCUACCUUCAACUGGAGGAUCGCCCGGGGAAACUCGGAUUAAUACUCCAUAACACAGGGAUCCCGCAUGGGAAUAUUGUUAAAGCUACGGCGGUUGAAGAUGGGCAUGCGUUCGAUUAGCUAGUUGGUGUAGGUAACGGCUCACCAAGGCUACGAUCGAUAGGGGGUCUGAGAGGAUGAUCCCCCACACUGGUGCUGAGAUACGGACCAGACUCCUACAGGAGGCAGCAGUAGGGAAUAUUGGUCAAUGGGCGCAAGCCUGAACCAGCCAUGCCGCGUGCAGGAAGAAGGCCUUCUGGGGGUUUGUAAAACUUGCUUUGCCGGGGGAUAAAAGAUCCAUGCGUGGAGAAUUGAAGGUACCCGGUGAAUAAGCCACGGCUAACUACGUGCCAGCAGCCGCGGUAAU
rnacentral:rRNA from 1 species